rnacentral:rRNA from 1 species
UGAGGAAUAUUGGUCAAUGGGCGAGAGCCUGAACCAGCCAAGUAGCGUGCAGGACGACGGCCCUAUGGGUUGUAAACUGCUUUUAUAAGGGAAUAAAGUGAGUCUCGUGAGACUUUUUGCAUGUACCUUAUGAAUAAGGACCGGCUAAUUCCGUGCCAGCAGCCGCGGUAAUACGGAAGGUCCGGGCGUUAUCCGGAUUUAUUGGGUUUAAAGGGAGCGUAGGCCGGAGAUUAAGCGUGUUGUGAAAUGUAGACGCUCAACGUCUGCACUGCAGCGCGAACUGGUUUCCUUGAGUACGCACAAAGUGGGCGGAAUUCGUGGUGUAGCGGUGAAAUGCUUAGAUAUCACGAGAACUCCGAUUGCGAAGG